rnacentral:rRNA from 1 species
CAGGGAAUCUUGCGCAAUGGGCGAAAGCCUGACGCAGCGACACCGCGUGGGGGAAGAAGGCUCUAGGGUUGUAAACCCCUUUUCUCGGGGAAGAGUAAGGACGGUACCCGAGGAAUAAGGUUCGGCUAACUACGUGCCAGCAGCCGCGGUAAUACGUAGGAACCGAGCGUUGUCCGGAUUUACUGGGCGUAAAGGGCGCGUAGGCGGCCCAUCAAGUCUCAUGUGAAAUCUCCCGGCUUAACUGGGAGGGGUCAUGGGAAACUGGUAGGCUCGAGGGCAGUAGAGGAAAGCGGAAUUCCCGGAGUAGUGGUGAUAUGCGUAGAUACCGGGAGGAACACCAGAGGCGAAGGCGGCUUUCUGGACUGUACCUGACGCUGAGGCGCGAGAGCAUGGGGAGCAAACCGG